rnacentral:misc_RNA from 1 species
AACGCACGAGACCUGCGGACCUGCGGAGGGAUCAUUACCGAGUUCUCGCCCCUCGCGGGGUAGACCUCCCACCCACUGUGAUCACUACCGUCGUUGCUUUGGCGGGCCGCUGGGCCCAGCCCACCGCCGGCUCCGGCUGGCGCGUGCCCGCCAGAGGCCCUACAAACGCUGGAUAUCAGUGCCGUCUGAGUACACAUGUUAAUCGUUAAAACUUUCAGCAAUGGAUCUCUAGAUCGGAAG